rnacentral:rRNA from 1 species
CCUACGGGUGGCAGCAGUGAGGAAUAUUGGUCAAUGGACGAGAGUCUGAACCAGCCAAGUAGCGUGAAGGAUGACUGCCCUAUGGGUUGUAAACUUCUUUUAUAUGGGAAUAAAAUGUUCCACGUGUGGGAUUUUGUAUGUACCAUAUGAAUAAGGAUCGGCUAACUCCGUGCCAGCAGCCGCGGUAAUACGGAGGAUCCGAGCGUUAUCCGGAUUUAUUGGGUUUAAAGGGUGCGUAGGUGGUUCGUUAAGUCAGUUGUGAAAGUUUGCGGCUCAACCGUAAAAUUGCAGUUGAAACUGGCAGUCUUGAGUACAGUAGCGGUGGGCGGAAUUUGUGGUGUAGCGGUGAAAUGCUUAGAGAUCACGAAGAACUCCGAUUGCGAAGGCAGCUUACUGGACUGCAACUGACAUUGAGGCUCGAAAGUGUGGGUAGCAAACAGGAUUAGAUACCCCAGUAGUC